UAGGAGAACGGGAUUCCUCCACCGCUGCACCCCACCCCCUUCUCUGCGAGAACGAUGGUCCCUCCGCCGCCGUGCCCCCAUCCCCUGCUCCGCGGUGCCCGUCCUCGCUCCCCGGUCCCCGAAUGCACACAAGAUCGACAGGAUCCGCCGCAUGCCUCACAAUUUUUUUCCAGAUCAAGAUCGAGAGAUAUUAGAGGGGGAUUGACAGAGGCGACAGCGAUGGGGAGUUCGAUAUGUGUGGCGGCAUGGUGGGAGCGCGGGGAGGGGCGAUGUGGUGCUGGAGGCGACCGACGCCAUAGAUAAGCGCUGGGGAGUUGCCGAUGCAAUUGCCGAGCGAAUGGGAGAGCCUUCGUGGUGGACGAGAAUGACCACCAUGGAUUCCUCGCCCCAAGUCAUGAUCCAGUUGCUGCCGCUCUUCGAAGUCAUCUGCUCCAUCACAUCCGCAACCUCACAGGUAUUCAAAUGAAAUUAAGAGAGGGCUCUUUAUGGAUUGGAGCACUAUGUUGUAUCACCUAUCUGUGAGAUUCUAAUUUUUUUGCUUCCUUUGCAUUUCUAUUAAUCCAAGUGUAGAAAUUGCUUUUGUAUAGUUGUCAGUUUAUGGCUCUAGGUGUAGCUUCAUUUAUGCAUAUUGGUAAUGUUGUGUUGAUUUCUUUCGGGUGGAGGUUACUUCAUCAACGAGGGCCGGAGGGAGAGCUUGGCAGGGCGGCAUGACGGGCUGGUCUGCACCAGCAGAACGGAGGGAGAGAUUGAAAAAGAGUGUCCGCCUGCAAUGGCGAGGAAGAAGAGUUCGAAAGCAGCAUGGACGGCUGCUCUCCGGCUGGUAUUGAAGGUAGAGCUUGGCAAGAGAGAAUGGGAGAGCUCUACUGUCUCGAGCAUGGCAUCCAGCCCCAAUGGCAUCAUGCCCACUUGCCCAGUACAAGGCAGACCAUAGAUUCCUCCCGACGAAGAUUGAUGUGGCGCGAUGGAGAGCUUGGUGUGUGCGGCCUGCUGAUGGCGCUCGGGGCGAUGCUGGCUUAACAAUGCAUCUUCUCUUAUUGUCCUCAUGCUCUCUGCUAGCAGUGCCCCCCCAUAUGUACAUGGAUUUGUAAUGGCCAAGGAACACUUUCGAUUCUUUCUUUAGUGUUUUCACUAUCAAUCCAUAUUUGGUGAACUUGUUCUACUGUUCAUGAGCGUCCGCCCAGAACCUGUCUGAUGUCAUGCGCAUGAAGGAUUGAGACACGUUCUAAUUUUCUGGUGAAACUCUUACCUCUAUUUAGAAAAUCCAAAUGAUGAAACAAGUGUAUUCAAGGUUGGAUCUGCACCUUAAACAUGUGUACCUGAUGUUCCAAGCUGCCGGUGUUCACAGCUAAAGAGUAGGCGAGGGUCCAUGGUUCAUUUGAUUUCGUGGGGAUUAUCCAGUACAAUGCGAUCUACACUAAAGCCGAUCUGAGCCAGUAAGCUCAAGGCAUCAGGUACGCUUUACAUACAAGGUCUCAUUCAAUUUAGUUUCCCAUGUAGUGUUAAAUUCUGAUGAACUAUAUUUAUUACAAAUUGUAAGCUAAACGAGAUUAAAAAAGAUAUUAAAUAUGCUCAAUCCAUGUUCAGUUGCUAAACUGAUCAGGAGCUACACUUCAAAGAGCUAACUAUUCACAAUAAAAUAGCCAUAAAUUUGUCAGUAUUUAGGGUAUUCAUCCACUCACUGUCAUGUUUAAUUUUGUGAUCCAGAAAACAUUACUGGUCAUUUCAUAGUAAGAUUAUAGAGUUGUUCUCCCUUUGUUUUGCGUAUCUACUCACUUGAUUAUAGUAAAUAAAUAAUUAAACAGUCGGAACUGGUAAUUUCAAGGAAAGAAAUAAGAAGCUCAUGGUCUUUGCUAUUGCACCUUUACUGGAGAUUGGUCUUUCAGUCUCCAUGCCAAUCCAUGUUUAGCCUGUUUAGUCACACUGGACUCUUCCAACUUUUGUCAAGCUACGUUCCAAGUUUCAUAUUUGAAAUAGCUUAUGUUUUAUAGGUAUAGGCACACAAGUUUGCUGUUCAAUAUGACCAUCAACUUAUUAAAAAUCUGUAGAACAUCAGAAUACUUAUAUGUUUCAGUUUUUGUAAAUGAUGAACAACAAUAUAAUUUCAUGCCUAAACUCGCAGCUUGGGUUAAAGGGGUGUGAUUUGUUUUCCUCCUGUUGCAACACACAUGCAUUUUUGCUACAUACUCUCUCUAUAAAGUAGUGAUCUGAACACACUUAUAUUUCUUUACAGAGGGAGUACUUUCAUAAAAAAAAAGGAACUCUCAUAUAUUUUAAUUAGUUUUCUUUCAUGUUGGCCUUAACUAACAAACAUG